rnacentral:rRNA from 1 species
GACGAACGCUGGCGGCGUGCUUAACACAUGCAAGUCGAACGGAAAGGCCCUGCUUUUGUGGGGUGCUCGAGUGGCGAACGGGUGAGUAACACGUGAGUAACCUGCCCUUGACUUUGGGAUAACUUCAGGAAACUGGGGCUAAUACCGGAUAGGAGCUCCUGCUGCAUGGUGGGGGUUGGAAAGUUUCGGCGGUUGGGGAUGGACUCGCGGCUUAUCAGCUUGUUGGUGGGGUAGUGGCUUACCAAGGCUUUGACGGGUAGCCGGCCUGAGAGGGUGACCGGCCACCUUGGGACUGAGAUACGGCCCAGAAUGCUACGGGAGGCAGCAGUGGGGAAUAUUACACAGUGGGCGGAAGCCUGAUGCAGCAACGCCGGGUGCGGGAUGACGGCUUUCGGGUUGUAAACCGCUUUCGCCUGUGACGAAGCGUGAGUGACGGUAAUGGGUAAAGAAGCACCGGCUAACUACGUG